rnacentral:rRNA from 1 species
AGUGAACGCUGGCGGUAGGCCUAGCACAUGCAAGUCGAACGGCAGCACAGUAAGAGCUUGCUCUUACAGGUGGCGAGUGGCGGACGGGUGAGGAAUACAUCGGAAUCUACUUUUUCGUGGGGGAUAACGUAGGGAAACUUACGCUAAUACCGCAUACGACCUACGGGUGAAAGCAGGGGAUCUUCGGACCUUGCGCGAUUGAAUGAGCCGAUGUCGGAUUAGCUAGUUGGCGGGGUAAAGGCCCACCAAGGCGACGAUCCGUAGCUGGUCUGAGAGGAUGAUCAGCCACACUGGAACUGAGACACGGUCCAGACUCCUACGGGAGGCAGCAGUGGGGAAUAUUGGACAAUGGGCGCAAGCCUGAUCCAGCCAUACCGCGUGGGUGAAGAAGGCCUUCGGGUUGUAAAGCCCUUUUGUUGGGAAAGAAAAGCAGCAGGUUAAUACCCCGCUGUUCUGACGGUACCCAAAGAAUAAGCACCGGCUAACUUCGUG